AGCGAACGCUGGCGGCAGGCCUAACACAUGCAAGUCGAACGAACUCUUCGGAGUUAGUGGCGGACGGGUGAGUAACACGUGGGAACGUGCCUUUUGGUUCGGAAUAACUCAGGGAAACUUGUGCUAAUACCGAAUGUGCCCUUCGGGGGAAAGAUUUAUCGCCAUUAGAGCGGCCCGCGUCUGAUUAGCUAGUUGGUGAGGUAACGGCUCACCAAGGCGACGAUCAGUAGCUGGUCUGAGAGGAUGACCAGCCACACUGGGACUGAGACACGGCCCAGACUCCUACGGGAGGCAGCAGUGGGAAAUCUUGCGCAAUGGGCGAAAGCCUGACGCAGCCAUGCCGCGUGAAUGAUGAAGGUCUUAGGAUUGUAAAAUUCUUUCACCGGGGACGAUAAUGACGGUACCCGGAGAAGAAGCCCCGGCUAACUUCGUG
rnacentral:rRNA from 1 species